CUUAAUAAAAUAAAGUAAUAUUUUAAAUUUCGGUUUUUGGUUGCGUUUUUCAAUACUUUAAAAUUUCGGAAGUUGUGAAUUUAUAUAAUUGAAAAUCGUUCUAGACCAAUUGAUAUGAUCACACGAACAGUUUAGGAAUCCCAAGAAACCCCUACGAGUAUUCAACCGUCGAUUACACUCAACAGUCAUUUACUUGUUUUGGGGUUGAGAAAUUACUAUUGUUUAUCACACACAUGGAGCUGAGACAAGCACAUGCAUUGCGUAAUGCCGGGCGAGGUAGAAACUUCAAAAUGAAACUUACUUCUGGAAUUGUCCGCACAUGCAGGGAGCGGAUUGGAGGAGAUUGUUGCUCUCGCAGUCGCGGACCGAAUUGACGACGACAUUGCGUGUGAAGCCGGCAAAGUAACGCAACAGUUUUCCCGUGCGUAGUAUGGAUGCCAUUGUGCACUAUUUACGUUAUUCAAAAAAACAAUAUUACAAAUUUAACAC